GGAGUCGGACGGGUCAUCGCCGCGGCCUCACGGCCGGGGAGGAAAGUCCGGGCUCCGCAGGGCAGGACGCUGGGUAACGCCCAGGGGGAGUGAUCUCCGUCAAGUGCAACAGAAAGCAGACCGCCUCCGGGGGUUCCCCGGCGGUAAGGGUGAAACGGUGGGGUAAGAGCCCACCGGCUGUCGCGGUGACGCGGCAGGCCAGGUGAACUCCGUCCGGAGCAAGACCGAAUAGGACAGCGUUUGAGGCCGGCCCGGCCGAAGCUGUCGGGUUGGUUGCUCGAGCCGUCCGGUAACGGGCGGCCUAGAUGAAUGAUGACCGCCCCGAAAGGGGAACAAAACCCGGCUUAUGACCGGCUCCGACU
rnacentral:RNase_P_RNA from 1 species